AGAAACCUCCUACCCAGAGCAUGGGUCUGUCCCAGGUUUCCUCCUAAAAGGGAGUUUUUCCUGGACCCUGUCCCCCAUGCUUGCUCUUGAGGGGAUUACUGGAGUUUUUGGGGCUUUGUAAAUUGUA